ensembl:lncRNA LOC100909782 uncharacterized LOC100909782
GACCAAACUGGUCUCAAACUCAGAGAUCCAACUCUGCUUCCUGUGACACCAGCCCUGCUCAGCUUUCAAAUUUCAAAGGCCUUCUUAGUGUCAAGAGUUCAGCAUGUACAGAACCUCUGUGAAAAUAGCAGGCUGAACAGACAGAAGCCCAUAAUGUCUUACAGGAUAUGGUCUGAGUAGUCCAACCAUGGAUAUGUCAUACUGGAGCAGCUGAGAACCUGGCAAUAGUCCACAAUGCUGGAUGUCUCCACAGUCCCAACCUGACACCAGAGACAUGGAGGACUCCUGAAGAACUUCUGGUCCUUAAGUGCACACUGGAAGCCCAGAGAAGCUAGCUCUAAUAUCAACCAAGAAUGCAGCAGAACAGGAGAUAGGCUUGCCCUCUCAUCAUCCAGGCUGCAACCAACCAAAAGACACUUUUGUGGAUUUGUAGUCUUUGCUUUUUCUGGACAGGGUUUCUCUGUAUAUCCCCAGCUGUCCUGGAACUCUCUAUACAGGCCAGUCUGGCCUUGAACUUAGAGAUCUUCCUACCUCUGCCUCCCUGAGCACUGGAAUUAAAGGCUUAUGCCACCUCACCCUGCUAAUACCGCCCACUUUUAGGAUACAUCUUUCUGCUUCAAAUGAUCAGAUCAAGAAGAGUCUUUUGAAAGAGCAGGAGGUUUGUGUUAUUCCAGAUCUAAUCUACUUGACAGGUAAGACUGGAGUUCCACCACUGGGACCCCACAGCAGAAGGAUGGACUCCCACAAGCUGUCCUCUGACCUCCAUACAAACCUUAUGGUGCAUGUUUGAGG